CCUACGGGAGGCAGCAGUGGGGAAUAUUGGGCAAUGGGCGCAAGCCUGACCCAGCAACGCCGCGUGAAGGAAGAAGGCUUUCGGGUUGUAAACUUCUUUUCUCAGGGACGAAGAAAGUGACGGUACCUGAGGGAUAAGCCACGGCUAACUACGUGCCAGCAGCCGCGGUAAUACGUAGGUGGCAAGCGUUAUCCGGAUUUAUUGGGUGUAAAGGGCGUGUAGGCGGGAGCGCAAGUCAGAUGUGAAAACUCAGGGCUCAACCCUGAGCCUGCAAUUGAAACUGUGUUUCUUGAGUGCUGGAGAGGCAAUCGGAAUUCCGUGUGUAGCGGUGAAAUGCGUAGAUAUACGGAGGAACACCAGUGGCGAAGGCGGAUUGCUGGACAGUAACUGACGCUGAGGCGCGAAAGCGUGGGGAGCAAACAGGAUUAGAUACCCUUGUAGUC
rnacentral:rRNA from 1 species